AAUGGUAUCCAUGUGGCUUUGGAACAACAGUAGCAUGUUAAUUUAUUCCCCAGUGUUACCUAGAGGCCCUGACAUGGGUCCAGGACUGGUGACACCCUAAUUUAAGUCCUGGGUAGGACCAGGCAGAUCAGGUGGCUCAGAGCUAGCACAAUAGACUGUGAGGGGAAGCCGCACUCCCUGAUCAGGGCAGAUCAGGAGGAUUCCAAGUGUAAUUGGCCUCCAGGGAGUAUGUAAGUCACUCUUGUACACCCCCUCAGACCUCCUUAAUGCCUUGCCAGCUGGAAGGAAAAGAGCCUCUUGCAUUGCCCACAAAGGAAGCAGAGAUUGAGGGGAGAAGAACUGGAGAAAUUAAAAAAGUGGAAAGAGACAGCAACACAAAUAAAGAGGUUGAGUACCAGUAGAAACCUCAUAUUUACCUGGAAGAUUACUUUUAGGAAGCUUGAAGAAUUCUCUCUUCCAACUUGGUUGGAUUUCCUGUAAGAUUUUAAAUGAAGAAAGUCUUCUACUGCUGUAUAAAGAAAAAAAAAAGAAGAAGAAAGGGAUGGAUCUCACUAUGUUGCCAAGGCUGGCUCGAGAACUCCUGGGCUCAACCAAUCCUCCUGCCUCAGCCUCCCAAAUAGCUGGGACUACAGGUGUGUGCCGCCACUCUCCCCUUUUUAUUGGAAGAGAGUUCAUAGAGGACUGAGCACCUAUUUAGUAUAUGUUUCUAGGUUUGGUUACAAUUUGUUAAGAAAAGUAGAUUUGCAAACUCACUACUUUUGAAAUAUUAAAAAUACAUGCCAUGAAUUUCUACUUCAGCACAGAUUUGGACAACCACCUUAUGUAUGGAAAGAAAAUUUACUGAAUUUAGUGCUAGGCAUAGAUGAGAAUUUCUACUUGAAAAAAGCCCUUAAAACUUUUCCUGCUGUACUGUUCAAUUAUUAAUAUAUUUAAUGCACAGACGCAGUUCACAAUGUGGACUGAUGUGAACUUGUGUUGCAUUGGCUUUAUAAAUUAGGACAGUUGAUUUUACUUAUCCUCCUGAUUUGCCCAGAUAUGAUCUCUAUAAAAAAUCACAGAAAUUUUUGUAAAAUAAUCUUGCAGUUCUUGUUUUUGCUCUUUUUCUUAUUUUUUUCUCAACAAAAAAUUAUUUCUGAUGUUCUAUUUUCACUUAAAUGAAAACAUUCCAUGGAAGAAGUACAAAGAAGUAAUGCUUUGAAAUGACAGUCCCUGAAUUUUCAAGAAAGCCAGAUUCUUCCACAUCCAUAGUCUUCCUUUGUCCUGUUAAUAAUCCUCAUGAUGAGAGGAAAGUUACUGCCUAGUGUUUUAUGACUGGGAGAAUGGAGUAACAAGAAUCUAAGUGGUCAGAAGUAGAGAUUGUCAAGAAUACAGGCUCUCAGGUUUUGGUGUCUGUGCUCCAUCAGCCAAACUUUGCCCUUUUCUAGAAAAGACCCAAGUGGUGAAGUCACUAAUUUUGUCAUUGUUAUUAUGUACUGGAGAAAAAUUAAAUGAUCCACCUCUUUAUCAUAUACUGAACUUUCAUGAUAAGUAACACAUGUGGAGUAACCAAGGCUUAGCCAACUAGGGAUUAAUGUUAGAAAAUGAAUUUUGCUUUCUCUAUACUUGUUUAGAAAUAGCAAAAGUUCUGUAAGGGGAUGGCUAGGGGCCAAUGGGAGAGGUGAAGGACCUUUAUCACAGUAUUUGUUUGGUCCCCAUCAAAGUUCCUGGGUGCCAUGGAAAAGUGUUUUUCUUUUCUGGACCCUUUACUUCAUCUGCAAAAUGGUGAGGCAGUUAAACUCUCUGGCUUGCUUUUAUCUUACAGGCAUUCAGUGAGGUAUAUAACCUGCAAUAUUUCUUAAAAGUUGUAUAGGUUUUGCUGACCUGAAUUCUUUCAUGUUCUUCUUCAUCCUACAUGUGUAACUAUUCCAUGUUAUCGGUCCCCACGAUGAAAGAUAAUGGAAAAACAAUGCCUGUCUUUGUCUGACUCAAAAAGCAUGCUGAAUGGACUUUUCAUCCAUGUGGCUGUGAUCAGUUCCUAAAGCAGAGGAAUCUGCAGCCUAAUGACACAUCAGGAAUUGAUGGAACCCCAGCAGACAGCUUCUAUGAGGAGAUUAGGACUCUCAGAAGAGACACCAGAGGCGUGGCCACACAGAGAAAAAGAUCAUGUGGGGACACAGUGAAAAGGCAGCCAUCAUAAGCCACAGAGAGAGGACUCAGAAGAAACCAACUCUGCUGACACCUUCAUCUUGAACUUCUAGCCUCUAGAACUGUGAAAAAACAAAUUUCUGUUGUUAAGACACCCGGUCUGUGGUAUUUUGUUAAGACAGCCCUAGCAAACUAACACAAUUUUGUACACUAAAUAAAGUCCAAUUCAAUUUUAAUUUUAUAGAAACUGAAACAAAUAAUUUAAAGAUUUACUUAGUAAAUUACUUCAGAUUGGGAUCAAAUGUGUACAUGAAUUAUGAAAAUGUAAGAAAUGGAUAUUUAAAUAAGUAUACCAGAACAUAAAAAUUCCAGUGCCUGGUUUUUUUUUUUUUUUUGAAAGCCACUUAUCCCAACAAUAAAACUGAUGCUCAAAAUA
rnacentral:lncRNA from 1 species